rnacentral:misc_RNA from 1 species
GUCAAACUUGAUCACGUGGUACAAUUUCGACGAAAACGCCAUCUGGAUAAAUUUUAGCGUCAAAAACUGAAAAAACUAAACAAUGUUUAGUUUUUGACGCUGGAGCUAUGGAACUAUGUGCGUUAAGCUAAAAACCUAUAAUCGAAGUUGGUAGUAAUCGAUAUAUAUCGAAAAAUAAUAAACAAGAGUAAUAAAAUAUUUUUUUUUAGAAUAAUUGAAAAAAUAUAUGAAAAAGGUAUCAUGGACUACGGGAAGGAACGGGAAUUGUUUUAUACAUGCGGAGUAUGUGAGACUAUCUGUAAAGAAAUCUAUAGUCAUCCGUGCAUGAAGCCUUAUAAGAACUUUCAUGUUGAUAAAAACUACUAUUUUUACCCCUUACUGGCUGACAAAAGAACAAUAAUCCGUCGAGCACAAUUUGAGGACGGCACCCAAGAAGUUAUUCGCGAAUUAUUGCCCGAAUUAAAUGGCAAAGAUGAUGUUUUUCAGUUAUACAGUGGUCGUGCUAUCGGAGGUGGGAAAAAAGCAAGUGUUGAAGAAUUUGUAGACUAUUGUGUGUUAGACGAUGAAGAUGACAUGUUAAGCUUACCUUUACAGCAGAAGAGUCCUACACUCCAAUCUGCUUUGACAAAGGGUUGUAAGGGUGAAAAAAAAAGAAGCUAUCAUGUCUCAGAAAACACAAGGACCUAAACUAACGGACGAUGAAAUUGGAUUUUUAAUUUUGGAAGUCCAAUCAAGGCCGCCCUUGUGGAACCAUGAAACACCUCUAGCAAACCGCUCGUCAAAAGCUACUGAUCUACUGUGGGAAGAAGUUUCAAAAGCCAUGGAUAUUAUAUCGAUUAUCUGCUGCUGAUGCUAAAAAAAGAUUUAAGAGUUUAAAAGAUCAAUACCGAAGACAAGUUCGAGCAGAAUGCCGUUCUAGUGGCUCAGCUCGAAUUGACCAAAAGAAAUGGAGAUUCUAUGACGCUUGCUCAUUCAUGCGCGACUGUUGCUUGAUUAAGCCAACUGUAGGUAAUGUUCCUGGAGGUGAUUUCGAUAAUAGUGGAGUUGAAGGUGAUGGUUAUAUAACUGAAGAUGAUGCUAAAAACCAUAAUAAUAUUUUUGCAGCUACUCCUAUCAGUAAAACUUCACGUAAACGUACAAAUGGAUCAUUAGACAAUAAUAUGUCUCCGUUAGCUAUGCUCGCUACAAAGAUCUGCAAGGACUCUCCACCACUCACAUUACCUUCUGCUCCAAAAACUGAUGCGGUCGAUAAUUUUUUAGCAGGUGUAGGCCAUGAAAUAAGGAAACUUCCAGAAGACAAGCAUCUUGGAGUAAUAAUAGAAAUUAUGGCUUUGGUUCAAAGUAAACUUCUAAAUGAAAAUCGAUACGAUUUUUAAAAAAUUGCUGCUUUCAACAAAUUAAAGUUUUUUAUAUUUUGGCUCUUAUUAUAAAAUUAUGUCAUCAGUAUUAUGGUCUGUUCUAAAACUUAGGCCAAAGAUUAAUUAUUUUAAACAGUGUUGAAUAGUUUUAACACAAUACUUUAUCUUGAAAUAAUUACCUGAUACUAAUAUUAAUAAUUAUAAGGUCAAAGAUCAAAUUAUAGGAUAAUAAGCUAAAAAAAAAAUGAAAUAUUACAGCAAUAAUAUUGUUUUAAGACAAAACUCUACCUUAAAGUGAUUAAGUGAUACUAAAAUUAAUGAUUUAAUAUAAACUAUUUAGUACCACUAAUAUAACUAAAAUAUCGCAAAUUGAAUUGGAUUUGUAUUUUUUUAAAACGCGAAAAAAAAUGUUUUCCAAAAAAAUUGUUAAAAACAAAGUCUAUUUUCAACGUUUUGGUUCCUAUUGUUAAAUAAUAUUGUAUAUUGCUGUUAGUUAUAAACUAAUUAAGGUAUAUACGAUCAAAAAAUAAUGUUCACUGGCUUAAGCCAAAGAUUAAUUAAUUUUAAUACUGUUAAAUAAUUUCAAGGCAAAACUACGUUAAAAUACCUAAUAUUAUUAUCAAUGAUUUAAAGAUAAAUUAC